UACGUAGGGUGCAAGCGUUGUCCGGAAUUAUUGGGCGUAAAGAGCUCGUAGGCGGUUUGUCGCGUCUGCUGUGAAAAUCCAGGGCUUAACCCUGGACCUGCAGUGGGUACGGGCAGACUAGAGUGCGGUAGGGGAGAUCGGAAUUCCUGGUGUAGCGGUGAAAUGCGCAGAUAUCAGGUGGAACACCAGUGGCGAAGGCGGCUUUCUGGACGGUAACUGACGCUGAGACGCGAAAGCGUGGGGAGCAAACAGG
rnacentral:rRNA from 1 species